rnacentral:lncRNA from 1 species
CAGAUUUUGGACGUCGUGCUGGUUGCGAAUGAGGUGGUCGAAGAAUUGCAGAAAAAUAAGGAUAUGUCGGUUUUGUUUUCAAAAUUGAUUUUGAAAAAUCCUAGGAUAUGGUGGAUUGGAUUUUUUUUGGAUCGUGUGCUAGAGCAAAAAGGUUUUGGGAGUGUUUGGAGGGGUUGGAUUAGAGGUUGUGUUUCGUCGGCCAAUUUUUUUGUCAUUAUUAAUGGU